rnacentral:rRNA from 1 species
AUUGAACGCUGGCGGCAGGCCUAACACAUGCAAGUCGAACGAGUGGCGGACGGGUGAGUAAUGUCUGGGAACCUGCCCGAUGGAGGGGAAUGACUACUGGAAACGGUAGCGAAUACCGCAUACCAUGGGAUGGGCCCAGAUGGGAUUGGCUAGUGGGUGGGGUAACGGCUCACCUAGGCGACGAUGCCUAGCUGGUCUGAGAGGAUGACCGGCCACACGGGAACUGAGACACGGUCCAGACUCCUACGGGAGGCAGCAGUGGGGAAUAUUGGACAAUGGGCGAAAGCCUGACGCAGCCAUGCAGCGUGUAUGAAGAAGGCCUUCGGGUUGUAAAGUACUGUCAGCGGGGAGGCGUUACCCGCAGAAGAAGCACCGGCUAACUCCGUGCCAGCAGCCGCGGUAAUUC